rnacentral:lncRNA from 1 species
GGGAAGUGGAACAACCCGGAGACACUCGCACUUCUUUCGAGUGUUAAGGAGCCUAGGAGGAGCAGGCAGCCGCUUGCUUUGAGCAUGCUCAGGUGUGGCUGUCCGCCGCUGUGGGGAAGGCACCCUGCAGCAGGGCUUCCUGCCCCACCUCUCCAUUGUAGUAGUGUCCAGAUCUCAGAAACGCAGCUUGAACCCAGCUUCAAAGGUACCAGAUGCCUCAGGCUUUCUCAUGGCGCUGGAAGACUGCAGUCUUGUAAGGUCUUUGCAGAGCUCUCAGUUGACGAUUUCCAAAGGGAUUGUGAAAAGACUGUGAAGCCAGAUGUUCACCUUCAGAUGGAGAUUCAAGUGUCAUUUAAGAGAAACAACUAAAGGAAGUGUCUGACCUUUCAAGGUUUUUUGGUUUUUCUUUUUCUUUUCUUUUCUUUCUUUUUUUUGUAUUUUUUUU